rnacentral:rRNA from 1 species
GCGAAAUGCGAUACGUAGUGUGAAUUGCAGAAUUCCGCGAAUCAUCGAGUCUUUGAACGCAAGUUGCGCCCGAGGCUUGCCCUCGGGCAUUUCUGUCAGAGCGUCAC